rnacentral:rRNA from 1 species
AUACGUAGGGGGCGAGCGUUGUCCGGAAUGAUUGGGCGUAAAGGGCGCGUAGGCGGCUUUGCAAGUCAGUAGUGGAAGUCCAUUUUUCAAGGAUGGAAGUGCUACAGAAACUGCGGAGCUUGAGUGCAGGAGAGGUUAUCGGAAUUCCCGGUGUAGCGGGGAAAUGCGUAGAGAUCGGGAGGAACACCAGUGGCGAAGGCGGGUAACUGGACUGCAACUGACGCUGAGGCGCGAAAGUGUGGGGAGCAAACAGGAUUAGAUACCCUGGUAGUCCACACUGUAAACGAUGAAUGCUAGGUGUAGGGGGUAUCGACUCCCUCUGUGCCGCAGUUAACACAAUAAGUAUUCCGCCUGGGGAGUACGGCCGCAAGGUUGAAACUCAAAGGAAUUGACGGGG